CCUUUGCCGGCGACCGGCGCACGGGUGAGUAACACGUAUGCAACCUGCCCUCUUCAGGGGGACAACCUUCCGAAAGGGAGGCUAAUCCCGCGUAUAUCGGUUUCGGGCAUCCGAGAUCGAGGAAAGAUUCAUCGGAAGAGGAUGGGCAUGCGGCGCAUUAGCUAGACGGCGGGGUAACGGCCCACCGUGGCGACGAUGCGUAGGGGUUCUGAGAGGAAGGUCCCCCACACUGGUACUGAGACACGGUCCAAACUCCUACGGAAGGCAGCAG
rnacentral:rRNA from 1 species